rnacentral:rRNA from 1 species
CCUACGGGUGGCUGCAGUGGGGAAUAUUGCACAAUGGGGGAAACCCUGAUGCAGCAACGCCGCGUGAGUGAUGACGGCCUUCGGUUUGUAAAGCUCUGUCUUCAGGGACGAUAAUGACGGUACCUGAGGAGGAAGCCACGGCUAACUACGUGCCAGCAGCCGCGGUAAUACGUAGGUGGCGAGCGUUGUCCGGAUUUACUGGGCGUAAAGGGAGCGUAGGCGGACUUAUAAGUGGGAUGUGAAAUACCCGGGCUUAACUUGGGUGCUGCAUUUGAAACUGGGAAGCUAGAGUGCAGGAGAGGAGAAUGGAAUUCCUAGUGUAGCGGUGAAAUGCGUAGAGAUUAGGAAGAACACCAGUGGCGAAGGCGAUUCUCUGGACUGUAACUGACGCUGAGGCUCGAAAGCGUGGGGAGCAAACAGGAUUAGAUACCCGUGUAGUC